GGUGGAUCAGGGGCGAACGGGUGAGUAACACGUGAGCAACCUGCCCUGGACUCUGGGAUAAGCGCUGGAAACGGCGUCUAAUACUGGAUAUGAGCUCUCAUCAAAUGGUGGGGGUUGGAAAGAUUUUUUCGGUUUGGGAUGGGCUCGCGGCCUAUCAGCUUGUUGGUGAGGUAAUGGCUCACCAAGGCGUCGACGGGUAGCCGGCCUGAGAGGGUGACCGGCCACACUGGGACUGAGACACGGCCCAGACUCCUACGGGAGGCAGCAGUGGGGAAUAUUGCACAAUGGGCGCAAGCCUGAUGCAGCAACGCCGCGUGAGGGAUGACGGCCUUCGGGUUGUAAACCUCUUUUGGUAGGGAAGAAGCCUUCGGGUGACGGUACCUGCAGAAAAAGCGCCGGCUAACUACGUGCCAGCAGCCGCGGUAAUACGUAGGGCGCAAGCGUUAUCCGGAAUUAUUGGGCGUAAAGAGCUCGUAGGCGGUCUGUCGCGUCUGCUGUGAAAUUCCGAGGCUCAACCUCGGGCUUGCAGUGGGUACGGGCAGACUAGAGUGCGGUAGGGGAGAUUGGAAUUCCUGGUGUAGCGGUGGAAUGCGCAGAUAUCAGGAGGAACACCGAUGGCGAAGGCAGAUCUCUGGGCCGUUACUGACGCUGAGGAGCGAAAGGGUGGGGAGCAAACAGGCUUAGAUACCCUGGUAGUCCACCCCGUAAACGUUGGGAACUAGUUGUGGGGUCCAUUCCACGGAUUCCGUGACGCAGCUAACGCAUUAAGUUCCCCGCCUGGGGAGUACGGCCGCAAGGCUAAAACUCAAAGGAAUUGACGGGGACCCGCACAAGCGGCGGAGCAUGCGGAUUAAUUCGAUGCAACGCGAAGAACCUUACCAAGGCUUGACAUAUACGAGAACGGGCCAGAAAUGGUCAACUCUUUGGACACUCGUAAACAGGUGGUGCAUGGUUGUCGUCAGCUCGUGUCGUGAGAUGUUGGGUUAAGUCCCGCAACGAGCGCAACCCUCGUUCUAUGUUGCCAGCACGUAAUGGUGGGAACUCAUGGGAUACUGCCGGGGUCAACUCGGAGGAAGGUGGGGAUGACGUCAAAUCAUCAUGCCCCUUAUGUCUUGGGCUUCACGCAUGCUACAAUGGCCGGUACAAAGGGCUGCAAUACCGUGAGGUGGAGCGAAUCCCAAAAAGCCGGUCCCAGUUCGGAUUGAGGUCUGCAACUCGACCUCAUGAAGUCGGAGUCGCUAGUAAUCGCAGAUCAGCAACGCUGCGGUGAAUACGUUCCCGGGUCUUGUACACACCGCCCGUCAAGUCAUGAAAGUCGGUAACACCUGAAGCCGGUGGCCUAACCCUUGUGGAG
rnacentral:rRNA from 1 species